UCCCUCUCAGGAUCACACCUGGAGAGUUUCCAGGACUCUACAAGACUCGGCUAAGGGAGGGACAGUCAAGCGAGGCAUAUCCAUUCCAUUCCUAGCUUAGUCAAUGGCUAGCAAGUGGAAGGCAAUCUGCUAUAAGU